rnacentral:rRNA from 1 species
AGAACGAACGCUGGCGGCAUGCCUAACACAUGCAAGUCGAACGUGAUCCAGGCUUCGGCCUGGUGAAAGUGGCAGACGGGUGAGUAACGCGUGGGAACCUGCCCUGUGGUAGGGAAUAACCGUGGGAAACUGCGGCUAAUACCCUAUGAGUCCUUCGGGAGAAAGAUUUAUCGCCAUAGGAGGGGCCCGCGUCGGAUUAGGUAGUUGGUGGGGUAACGGCCUACCAAGCCUUCGAUCCGUAGCUGGUCUGAGAGGAUGAUCAGCCACACUGGGACUGAGAUACGGCCCAGACUCCUACGGGAGGCAGCAGUGGGGAUAUUGGACAAUGGGGGCAACCCUGAUCCAGCAAUGCCGCGUGGAUGAUGAAGGCCUUCGGGUUGUAAAGUCCUUUCGGCGGGAAGAUGAUGACGGUACCGCAGAAGAGCCCCGGCUAACUCGCGCCAGCAGCCGC